UCCUUGUGAUUCGAUGAGAUGAAUGAUUAUGAGUGUGAGCCGGCACCCUUCUACCGCAUCAAAACAUGGGAUUCUUGUGGAGCAGCACCGAUAAAUAACCAGACUACUAUCAGAGGUGUUCAUCAGCGAUGAUCCAAGUGGGGGAGUGUCAUGGAAGGGAAGUGCAAGAAGGCUCAUCAAAGCUGCUCUCCAUGAAGCAGCUAGAAAACGAGAGAUGCGAUAUUCAGACCUGAAAAGGAUUGACAAGAAGGUCCGCCGACAUUUUCAUGAUGACAUAACUGUUAUCAUUAUUUUCCUUAAUCACGAUCCUACAGUCAAAUCCGCACAAGGGCCUCAUUUAUCAGUUAGAAGUGCUUUGGAUCACUGAUCUGUUAACACUGCCAUGGAACAAGGUUGCUUGAUGUAAAGACUACAUGUAGCUGAGACUGCUAUAUAAGAUGAGGAAAUCAAUCUGGAAACUUAUGUGUAGGGAGGUUUCGAUUACCACACAAAGGAUGUUUCCCCCACUUUUUUUGGAAAAAAAAUGUUUAUGUUAUGUUCUAAAUUAUUGUGCUGUCAGCUAUGUAAUUUAUCAAAUGAGAUAGCCAAUGGUAAUAAAUAUGUUCUCAAUGUUCUAAAAAUUAAAGUGAAGUGCUUUCAUGAUUUUCUUCCCUUGAA